GACGAACGCUGGCGGCGUGCCUAAUACAUGCAAGUUGAACGCUUGAUUUUCACCGAAGCUUGCUUCACCGAAAAUCAAGAGUAGCGAACGGGUGAGUAACGCGUGGGUAACCUACCUUUCAGCGGGGGAUAACUAUUGGAAACGAUAGCUAAUACCGCAUAACAAUGUUGGAUGCAUAUUCGACAUUUGAAAGUAUCAAUUGGUACACUGAGAGAUGGACCCGCGUUGUAUUAGCUAGUUGGUAGUGUAAUGGACUACCAAGGCGAUGAUACAUAGCCGACCUGAGAGGGUGAUCGGCCACAUUGGGACUGAGACACGGCCCAA
rnacentral:rRNA from 1 species